GACGAACGCUGGCGGCGUGCCUAACACGUGCAAGUCGAGCGGGGAUUUAAGUGGAAGUUCUUCGGAAUGGAGAUUUAAAUUCUAGCGGCGGACGGGUGAGUAACGCGUGAACAAUCUGUCCCGGACAGGGGGAUAACACUUGGAAACAGGUGCUAAUACCGCAUAAGACCACGGCCUCGCAUGGGGCUGAGGUAAAAGGAGCAAUCCGGUUCGGGGUGAGUUCGCGUCCGAUUAGCUAGUUGGUGAGGUAACGGCCCACCAAGGCGACGAUCGGUAGCCGGCCUGAGAGGGUGAACGGCCACAUUGGAACUGAGAGACGGUCCAAACUCCUACGGGAGGCAGCAGUGGGGAAUAUUGGGCAAUGGGCGAAAGCCUGACCCAGCAACGCCGCGUGAGGGAAGAAGGUUUUCGGAGUGUAAACCUCUGUCCUAUGGGACGAAGGAAGUGACGGUACCAUAGGAGGAAGCCCCGGCUAACUACGUG
rnacentral:rRNA from 1 species